rnacentral:rRNA from 1 species
ACUACGGGUGGCAGCAGUAGGGAAUUUUCGUCAAUGGGCGCAAGCCUGAACGAGCGAUGCCGCGUGAGUGAAGAAGGCCUUCGGGUCGUAAAGCUCUGUUGCGGGGGAAAAAAGGCAGCAUCAGGAAAUGGGUGCUGACUGAUGGUGCCCCGCCAGAAAGUCACGGCUAACUACGGGCCAGCAGCCGCGGUAAUACGUGGGUGGCGAGCGUUAUCCGGAAUGGUUGGGCGUAAAGGGUGCGCAGGCGGUACUGCAAGUCUGGAGUGAAACGCAUGAGCUCAACUCAUGCAUGGCUUUGGAAACUGGAGGACUGGAGAGCAGGAGAGGUCGGUGGAACUCCAUGUGUAGCGGUAAAAUGCGUAGAUAUAGGGAAGAACACCAGUGGCGAAGGCGGCGGCCUGGCCUGUUGCUGACGCUGAGGCACGAAAGCGUGGGGAGCAAAUAGGAUUAGAUACCCGUGUAGUC